AUUGAACGCUGGCGGCAGGCCUAACACAUGCAAGUCGAACGAGUGGCGGACGGGUGAGUAAUGUCUGGGAACCUGCCUGAUGGAGGGGGAUAACUACUGGAAACGGUAGCUAAUACCGCAUACCAUCAGAUGUGCCCAGAUGGGAUUAGCGAGUUGGGGGGGUAACGGCGCACCAAGGCGACGAUCCCUAGCUGGUCUGAGAGGAUGACCAGCCCCACUGGAACUGAGACACGGCCCAGACUCUUACGGGAGGCAGCAGGGGGGAAUAUCGCACAAGGGGCGCAAUCCUGAUGCAGCCAUGCCGCGUGUAGGAAGAAGGCCUUCGGGUUUUAAAGUACUUUCAGCGGGGAGGCGUUACCCGCAGAAGAAGCACCGGCUAACUCCGUGCCAGCAGCCGCGGUAAUUC
rnacentral:rRNA from 1 species